AUUAAAAUUAUGUUUAAGGCAAUUCAUUUCAGCCUCCCAAUUAAUCGCCUCAUCUCUGCUAUUUUCGUUCUCCUCAUUUCAGCCUCCCAAAUCGCCUCCAUCUCUACUCUCGUUCUCUGCUCUGAAGUUGCCCUCUCUCUGUCUCUGCAACUGUAAACUAAAAAAUCUACAAGAAUCAGAACCCAUAUCGACACAUCAUAUAUUAUUGUUCAAAAUCAAAACCCACCUUCAGUUUCCAAAUCCCGCUGUUCCAGUUCGAUUGGGUUCGCCAUUCGCAAGCUUCAGCGUCUCUGCCGCUGUCUCUCAACUCUCAAGCCAUCUCUUUGCAGCUGCGAACUUGAUCUCCCUUUGCAGGAUUUGAAAGACUAAUUGGUAAAUUUGGGUUGAAUGUGAGUCUUGAACAAGCUGAAGGCCCUUAUACUGGAUUUUCAAUUGCAUGGCCUAUCAAGUACAUCAAAAUUUGUCAAAGCUAGGAUUGUGGGUUGCGGGUUGCAGUUCCUUUUUUUGUUGCCGCUAUAUUUUUUGUAUGGUUCGAAGAAGAAGUUGCAAGAAAGAUAUGAAGAAUUUUUGUUUUAUUUUGGUGCAAGUAAAUAUAUAAGGUGUGGAUCAUGUACUUUUUUCAAAUUUGUAUAUGGUUAAUUUUUGUAAAAAACAAUAAUUUGGAAUUGGUUAUAUAUAUAUAUGUAUGAGUUAUAAAUUA